GAUGAACGCUGGCGGCGUGCCUAAUACAUGCAAGUCGAGCGAACAGGCGAGGAGCUUGCUCCUCUGACGUUAGCGGCGGACGGGUGAGUAACACGUGGAUAACCUACCUAUAAGACUGGGAUAACUUCGGGAAACCGGAGCUAAUACCGGAUAAUAUAUUGAACCGCAUGGUUCAAUAGUGAAAGACGGUUUUGCUGUCACUUAUAGAUGGAUCCGCGCCGCAUUAGCUAGUUGGUAAGGUAACGGCUUACCAAGGCAACGAUGCGUAGCCGACCUGAGAGGGUGAACGGCCACACUGGAACUGAGACACGGUCCAGACUCCUACGGGAGGCAGCAGUAGGGAAUCUUCCGCAAUGGGCGAAAGCCUGACGGAGCAACGCCGCGUGAGUGAUGAAGGUCUUCGGAUCGUAAAACUCUGUUAUUAGGGAAGAACAAAUGUGUAAGUAACUAUGCACGUCUUGACGGUACCUAAUCAGAAAGCCACGGCUAACUACGUG
rnacentral:rRNA from 1 species